rnacentral:rRNA from 1 species
GACGAACGCUGGCGGCGUGCUUAACACAUGCAAGUCGAACGAAAAUACCAAGCUUGCUUGGUUGAUUAGUGGCGAACGGGUGAGUAACACGUGAGUAACCUGCCCCUUACUUUCCUGGAUAACUGCUCGAAAGGGUAGCUAAUACGGGAUAUUCUGACCAGCCUGCAUGGGUUGGUUUGGAAAGGUUGUUUUUCUGGUAAGGGAUGGGCUCGCGGCCUAUCAGCUUGUUGGUGGGGUGAUGGCCUACCAAGGCUUUGACGGGUAGCCGGCCUGAGAGGGUGGACGGUCACACUGGGACUGAGAUACGGCCCAGACUCCUACGGGAGGCAGCAGUGGGGAAUAGUGCACAAGGGGCGCAAGCCUGAUGCAGCGACGCCGCGUGAGGGAUGAAGGCCUUCGGGUUGUAAACCUCUUUCGUCAGGGAACAAGGCACUGCUUUUUUGGUGGUGUUGAGGGUACCUGGAUAAGAAGCGCCGGCUAACUACGUG